rnacentral:rRNA from 1 species
AGCGAACGCUGGCGGCAGGCCUAACACAUGCAAGUCGAACGGAGUGGCGGACGGGUGAGUAACACGUGGGAACGUGCCCUUUGGUUCGGAACAACUCAGGGAAACUUGAGCUAAUACCGGAUGCCAUUGGAGCGGCCCGCGUCUGAUUAGCUAGUUGGUGAGGUAAAGGCUCACCAAGGCGACGAUCAGUAGCUGGUCUGAGAGGAUGAUCAGCCACAUUGGGACUGAGACACGGCCCAAACUCCUACGGGAGGCAGCAGUGGGGAAUCUUGCGCAAUGGGCGAAAGCCUGACGCAGCCAUGCCGCGUGAAUGAUGAAGGUCUUAGGAUUGUAAAACUCGUUGUUAGAGAAGACGUUAGUAACUGAACGUCCCCUGACGGUAUCUAACCAGAAAGCCACGGCUAACUACGUGCCAGCAGCCGCGGUAAUAC